rnacentral:rRNA from 1 species
UACGGAGGGUGCAAGCGUUAUCCGGAUUCACUGGGUUUAAAGGGCGCGUAGGUGGGUCUGUAAGUCAGUGGUGAAAUCUCCGAGCUUAACUCGGAAACUGCCAUUGAUACUAUAGGUCUUGAAUUAUCUGGAGGUGAGCGGAAUAUGUCAUGUAGCGGUGAAAUGCUUAGAUAUGACAUAGAACACCAAUUGCGAAGGCAGCUGGCUACACAAAUAUUGACACUGAGGCACGAAAGCGUGGGGAGCAAACAGG